AUGCCAAAUCUGCUCAAAACCAAUAGGAAUACGUCAAAAUAGGCUAAUGGAACAUAACCCAAACGAAAUAUCUCGAAAUACACCCAAAAACACGAAGUUGGAUAAACCCGAGCCCCGAGCCCACUUCUCGAAAAAUUACGAAACUUACAUUUUCAGAAUCCUCGUCUUGCCACAAGUCCGUACAUAUAAACUUCAUCAAAAUCGGAGUCCAAAUGCUCCUCCAAAUCACCAAUUUUCAUUUGAAACUUCAAGCCCUAGUUCUUCAAUUUUUAUGCC
rnacentral:lncRNA from 1 species